GAGUGUUUUCCAGGACAUGCUAGUUCCAAAAGAUACUCCUUAAAAAAGAGUUCUAUAGUCAAAACGUUGGUUCCAGAAGAAGACUGUCUCAUUAUUGUUACAUCUCUGGCCCUGGAGUAGCCCCUGGCAAAUAUGUACUCAGUACAUGUUUGCGAGACGCAUGGACUUGUAGAACAGUUCCACAGCUGUCCAUCACUGAUGUUCCAUACCUAGCGAUGCGGCCCCUCGAAACGCACUGGAGAGCUGGGCAGACCAAGGAUAAUUUCACAGACUUGCCCUCAUAUCUCAUAAUCUUCGCUCACAGGACGCUGGACAUUCAAAGAAAGAAAAAGAAGUAUAGAAAAGAGAGAAAAACGUCAAGAACUCCAUCAUAAAGUCCUCUUAAUAACGCAUCUUUUUAUAAUCAUCGGGCAAUAAAUUUCUGAAUGGAC
rnacentral:antisense_RNA from 1 species